rnacentral:tRNA from 1 species
GGGAAGUUAUACCGUAAGUGGCAGCGGGGCAGACUGUAAAUCUGUUACCUUCGGGUUCGGGUGGUUCGACUCCAUCACUUCCCA